rnacentral:rRNA from 1 species
GCAGUAGCCGCGGUAAUGCGAAGGGUGCAAGCGUUAAUCGGAAUUACUGGGCGUAAAGCGUGCGUAGGCGGUUUGUUAAGUCUGUUGUGAAAUCCCCGGGCUCAACCUGGGAAUGGCAAUGGAUACUGGCAAGCUAGAGUGUGUCAGAGGAUGGUGGAAUUCCCGGUGUAGCGGUGAAAUGCGUAGAGAUCGGGAGGAACAUCAGUGGCGAAGGCGGCCAUCUGGGGCAACACUGACGCUGAGGCACGAAAGCGUGGGGAGCAAACAGGAUUAGAUACCCCUGUAGUCCCUGUCUCUUAUAA